rnacentral:rRNA from 1 species
UACGUAGGUGGCAAGCGUUGUCCGGAUUUACUGGGCGUAAAGAGCGCGCAGGCGGUCGUUCAAGUCGCGUGUGAAAGCCCCCGGCUCAACUGGGGAGGGUCACGCGAUACUGAUCGACUCGAAGGCAGGAGAGGGUAGUGGAAUUCCCGGUGUAGUGGUGAAAUGCGUAGAUAUCUGGAGGAACACCGGUGGCGAAGGCGGCAUCCUGGACCGGUAUUGACGCUGAGGCGCGAAAGCCAGGGGAGCAAAGCGGGG